GACGAACGCUGGCGGCGUGCUUAACACAUGCAAGUCGAACGGAAAGGCCCUGCUUGCAGGGUGCUCGAGUGGCGAACGGGUGAGUAACACGUGGGUGAUCUGCCCCUUACUUUGGGAUAAGCCUGGGAAACUGGGUCUAAUACUGGAUAGGACCAUGCUGUAGGUGGUGUGGUGGAAAGAUUAGUUUCGGUAAGGGAUGAGCUCGCGGCCUAUCAGCUUGUUGGUGGGGUAAUGGCCUACCAAGGCGUCGACGGGUAGCCGGCCUGAGAGGGUGGACGGCCACAUUGGGACUGAGAUACGGCCCAGACUCCUACGGGAGGCAGCAGUGGGGAAUAUUGCACAAUGGGCGCAAGCCUGAUGCAGCGACGCCGCGUGUGGGAUGACGGCCUUCGGGUUGUAAACUCCUUUCAGCCAUGACGAAGCCCUUGUGGUGACGGUAGUGGUAGAAGAAGCACCGGCUAACUACGUG
rnacentral:rRNA from 1 species